UACGUAGGGGGCAAGCGUUGUCCGGAUUUAUUGGGCGUAAAGAGCGUGUAGGCGGCCUGGAAGGUCAGCUGUGAAAACUCGAGGCUCAACCUCGAGACGUCGGUUGAAACCACCUGGCUAGAGUCCGGAAGAGGAGAGUGGAAUUCCCGGUGUAGCGGUGAAAUGCGCAGAUAUCGGGAAGAACACCCGUGGCGAAGGCGGCUCUCUGGGACGGUACUGACGCUGAGGCACGAAGGCCAGGGGAGCAAACGGG
rnacentral:rRNA from 1 species